rnacentral:lncRNA from 1 species
AAAAGUUUACAAUUUUAAUAGAAAAACAACUUAUGACAGAGCUAAAUAUACAAUGUAAAUUUAAUUUUUAAAAAGAAAAAUUAUUAGUAAGAGUAGUAGAAUUCUAGUGACAAAAAGACUAAAAUAUUUGGAAAUAUACCAUCUGUAAAGGAAAAUACUAAUUCAUGCCAGGCUCUAUUAAAGUGCAUAAAAAGGAAAUUUAUUUUAGAAUUUACACCAAAAGCACAUUACAAGUACACGUGUUACUCUGGCACAGUAAUGCAGGAAGCUCAGCCACAAAGAAAACACAGCUGUGAUCUCAUGUAUCAGUCUGCCUCCUAGGACAUGCCUCACAAAUAGUUUGUUCCAAAGGUUGAAAAUUACAAGCAAUUUUCCCUGUUGAUAGCUUUGCAAAUAACUCUGGUAACAGACCAAAAAGUCUUAAUUCUUAUCUUGCUGAUUCUCUAAAGUCAUGUCAGUCUCAAGAAACUUCUGAUUUCUGGUCAUUUUCAAUAAAAAUUGAUAUGAGAGAUAUUUUCAGACUUUUAAAACAAG